rnacentral:miRNA from 1 species
GUAAAGAUUUUCUCGAGUUUUGAC